rnacentral:rRNA from 1 species
GACAGAGGCCUCAAGCGUUAGGCGGAAUCACUGGGCUUAAAGCGUGUGUAGGCGGAUCGUUAAGUGUCUUGUGAAAUCCCACGGCUCACCCGUGGAACUGCUGGGCAUACUGGCGAUCUUGGGCCAACUAGGGGCAACUGGAACAAGCGGUGGAGCGGUGAAAUGCGUAGAUAUCGCUUGGAACGCCAAAGGUGAAAACAGGUUGCUGGGGAUGCGCCGACGCUGAGACACGAAAGCCAGGGGAGCAAACGGG